UUGUGGCCAUAUCCCAUUAAAACCCCUGUUCUCGACCGAUCGCCGAAGUUAAGCAGCAUUGAGCGGAUCAGUACCAAGAUGGCCGAUCGCUUGGGAAUACCAAAUGUUGUAA